UACGUAGGGGGCAAGCGUUGUCCGGAAUCAUUGGGCGUAAAGAGCGUGUAGGCGGCUUGAUAAGUCGGCUGUGAAAGUCGGGGGCUCAACCCUCGAAUGCCGGCCGAUACUGUCAAGCUAGAGUCCGGAAGAGGCGAGUGGAAUUCCUGGUGUAGCGGUGAAAUGCGCAGAUAUCAGGAGGAACACCAAUGGCGAAGGCAGCUCGCUGGGACGGUACUGACGCUGAGACGCGAAAGCGUGGGGAGCAAAC
rnacentral:rRNA from 1 species